rnacentral:rRNA from 1 species
GACGAACGCUGGCGGCGUGCCUAAUACAUGCAAGUCGAACGCAGUGGGGACGGGUGAGUAACACGUGGGUAACCUCCCAUCAGAAGGGAUAACACUUGGAAACCUAUGCUAAACCGCUACUGAUGGAUGAACCGCCGGUGCAUUAGCUAGUUGGUUAGGUAAGGGCUCACCAAGGCCACGGUGCAUAGCGGACCGGGGAUGGUGAUGGGCGACAGUGGGACUGGGAAACGGCAUAGACUCCUAAGGGAUGCAGGAGUAGGGAAUGGUCGGAAAUGUACGAAAGUCUAACCGAGCAACGCCGCGUGAGUGAAGAAGGUUGUAGGAUUGUAAAACUCUGUUGUUAGUGAAGCGGUAUCUAACCAGAAAGCCACGGCGAACUACGUGCCAGCAGCCGCGGUAUUC